AAGCCUGAUGCAGCGACGCCGCGUGAGGGAUGACGGCCUUCGGGUUGUAAACCUCUUUCGACAGGGACGAAGCGCAAGUGACGGUACCUGUAGAAGAAGCACCGGCCAACUACGUGCCAGCAGCCGCGGUAAUACGUAGGGUGCGAGCGUUGUCCGGAAUUACUGGGCGUAAAGAGCUUGUAGGCGGCUUGUCGCGUCGAUCGUGAAAACUUGGGGCUCAACCCCAAGCUUGCGGUCGAUACGGGCAGGCUUGAGUACUUCAGGGGAGACUGGAAUUCCUGGUGUAGCGGUGAAAUGCGCAGAUAUCACGAGGAACACCGGUGGCGAAGGCGGGUCUCUGGGAAGUAACUGACGCUGAGAAGCGAAAGCGUGGGUAGCGAACAGGAUUAGAUACCCUGGUAGUCCACGCCGUAAACGGUGGGUACUAGGUGUGGGUUUCCUUCCACGGGAUCCGUGCCUUACCUAACGCAUUAAGUACCCCGCCUGGGGAGUACGGCCGCAAGGCUAAAACUCA
rnacentral:rRNA from 1 species